rnacentral:rRNA from 1 species
AGUGGACGCUGGCGGUAGGCCUAACACAUGCAAGUCGAACGGCAGCACAGUAAGAGCUUGCUCUUACGGGUGGCGAGUGGCGGACGGGUGAGGAAUACAUCGGAAUCUACUUUUUCGUGGGGGAUAACGUAGGGAAACUUACGCUAAUACCGCAUACGACCUACGGGUGAAAGCAGGGGAUCUUCGGACCUUGCGCGAUUGAAUGAGCCGAUGUCGGAUUAGCUAGUUGGCGGGGUAAAGGCCCACCAAGGCGCCGAUCCGUAGCUGGUCUGAGAGGAUGAUCAGCCACACUGGAACUGAGACACGGUCCAGACUCCUACGGGAGGCAGCAGUGGGGAAUAUUGGACAAUGGGCGCAAGCCUGAUCCAGCCAUACCGCGUGGGUGAAGAAGGCCUUCGGGUUGUAAAGCCCUUUUGUUGGGAAAGAAAAGCAGCAGGUUAAUACCCCGCUGUUCUGACGGUACCCAAAGAAUAAGCACCGGCUAACUUCGUG